CACGCCCUAAACGGUGUAAACUUGAUGUGAGAGGUUUUACUCCUUCUCGUGUCGAAGCUAACGCGAUAAGUUUACCGCCUGGGAACUACGGCCGCAAGGCUAAAACUCAAAGGAAUUGACGGGGGCCCGCACAAGCGGUGGAGCAUGUGGCUUAAUUCGAGGCAACGCGAAGAACCUUACCUAGAUUUGACAUAUACAGGACAGUCGUGGAAACACGAUCUCCCGCAAGGGUCUGUAUACAGGUGC
rnacentral:rRNA from 1 species